CCUACGGGUGGCUGCAGUGGGGGAUAUUGCACAAUGGCGGGAACCCUGAUGCAGCGACGCCGCGUGGGUGAAGGAGCGCUUCGGCGCGUAAAGCUCUAUCGGCAGGGAAUAAGAUGACGGUACCUGACCAAGAAGCCUCGGCUAACUACGUGACAGCCGCCGAGGUAAUACGUAGGGGCCAAGCGUUAUCCGGAUUUACUGGGUGUAAAGGGGGCGCAGACGGCAAUGCAAGCCAGGAGUGAAAGCCCGGGGCCCAACCCCGAGACUGCUCUUGAAACUGGAUGGCUUGAGUACAGGAGGGGCAGGCGGAAUUCCUGGUGUAGCGGUGAAAUGCGUAGAUAGUAGGAGGAACACCGGUGGCGAAGGCGGCCUGCUGGACUGUGACUGACGUUGAGGCCCGAAGGCGUGGGGAGCAAACAGGAUUAGAUACCCGGGUAGUC
rnacentral:rRNA from 1 species